UGUGCUAUCAUUGAAAUUACAUCUGGAAGAUUAUAAAUAGGCUCUUGAAGAAUCCUGAAUGUUGCAAGUGCUGACAGAAUCUUUCCUGAUUCAAGUGGGAUCCCUACGAGCAUACAAGUACCAAAAGUAACCACAGAUACAAAUGUAGGUGCACCCCAAAAGACAAAUGUAGUAACGGCGUUAGUAUAAAGAAAUUUUUUCAACCAGCCUUGUUCAGCGUCCCUGAGCGCAGUUAUUUUAGAUAGAAACUUCAUUUCCCAUCCUUGCAGUUUAAGGAUCCUCAUGUUCCUUAAAAUUUCAGAUGUGGUCUUCAUUCUUGUAUCCUUUGACUCCAUCAACUUUUUUUGAAACUUCUCUUGUAAUGAUCCCAAUGGAACAUUUGCUAACAUAACAAUGAUAGUUGCAACAAAAGCAGCAAUUGAAGCAAGUCCAAGAUUUUUAUACAAAAUUAACAAUGCCAGUGUAACUUGCAAAGCUACUAACCACAAAUCAUGCAUGUACCAACUGAAUUUAUCAACUCUUUCGGCAUCAACAGUCAUGAAAUUGAUUAUUUCUCCAGAGGUAUGGCACUGUCUUGAUUGACCUGAAAGUGUUAAGGCUUUACCAUAUAUCAUAGUCACAAGCAGUGCUCGGGUUCAAAGUCCGAAUUGCUGCAACCUAAAGAACCAAUGCCUCUGUGUUAAGCACUCUACAAGCUUUGCAAAGAAAAAUGCAGAAACAAACACAUAGCCUUGAUUCUCGUAUAGCCUUUUUCCAUCAAGGUAUUGAACAAAAGAGUCAAUAAGAUAAGGACCAACAUAAGAAGCAAAAGUUUUCAACAAUGUAAGAAAAGCAGUGAAAAGAAUCUCUUUCCACCCUGAGAUUAUUAAUGACUUAACUAACUUAAGUGUGGUUACUCUAUUGACUGCACCACAAUCAGCUUCAAGUUUUUCUCUAAAAAUUGGAAAAACUCCAAUGACACUAUCUCCACUAUCUAGCUGAGGAAUAUCCUCAAGGUCUAAGGUUUUCUUAUAACCAAAUGCUAUAAGUGGUUCCACCCAAGUGAAAGUGAGAAGACUCAAAAUUCCAGCAGUAGAAAAAGGGGUAACAGUGUCACUCCCUUUAGUCUUUUUUAAAUCCAAGGGAUUAACAUUACCAUUACCAUUACCAAUAUGUGUAUCACCAUUCAAAAGAGGCUCUUGAAGAGUUCUUUCACUUUCUUCACUCUCAUUUUUCACACAAUACCCCACAUAACAAAAGAAGAAACCAACACAAAAGGACACCACAUCAGAAACCAAGCAUUGAACUGUUAACUCAAUGUGAUUUUCAUAUAGAACAACAAUAUCAACCACAGAGCAAUAACAUGAAACAAAUAAAAAUAAAACACACCAAGCUCUAAUAAAGAAUGGAAACCUUCUUCUUCUUUGAUCUGAACUGAAGAAAAACAAGAACCCUUUGUGGAAACAAACACAAACAACACACCAAGCAACUGUUUUUAAUACUAAAUCUAAAAUUGUAACAACCUUUUCUUCUGACCAACCACUUGCAUACCAGUAAAAGUAGUUAAACAGAAACAGAACCAAAUUGAAAGAAGAAAAACCAAAAGAACAAAACUUUGUCACUUUAAACAAAGUGUUAUUAGGUUUCUCCUUAGACUCAUUCACAACAAAAGUUGUAAAUUUUCUCCAAACCCAUGAAACUAAAACUGCAAGAAUCAAUAGUAUAUGAAUUAAGCUAGAUAUCCCAUGAAGGAAAAUGGGUUUAAAAACAAAAUCAGUUCCAAGGUUCAUGAAUGAAACAGAAGACAAAACAAACAUCAUAGUUAUAAAAAUUGGAUUUUUUUUAAUGAUGUUUGUUAUUGAGGUUGUUUGAAGAAAAGGGUAUAGUGGGAUAGUAAGAAAGAUGAAAUUUUUGAGGUUAUAAAGGUCGGAAAAGUAGUGAGAGAAAGUCAAAAGUUUAGAGAGGGAAAGAAAAUUCAAUGAAAAAAAUGUGAUUACUUGGGACUAGGGUUAACGUGGUGGCCAAGAUUUGAGUGUUAUGUGGUUGAAGGAAGAAACUAGGAAAUGUGACUAAAACGAUUCAAAGAGACAACAAGAACAAGGUUCAUGUUUUUUCACUACUAUGAAGAGUGAAAUAAUUGUAGAAUUUUCAACAUCAUAUACUACAAAAAAUGCAACUCCAACGUCUCAAUCACAAAUGAUGCAUGCAGAACACUACUUGACUAGUUGACUUGCAUGACAUCAAUACUUUUAGUCCACACAAACUCAAAAUAUCUUGGAAUAUACCAAGAACUAAAUAAAUGUGGAAUUUUUUUCAGGCUCUACUUUUGAAAAAGUAAAAUCCAAUCCAUCGAAUAUUAAAAACAAAUAUCCAAUAUGUCCUAUUUUAAUUUUUUUUCCCUUGAAUAUAAUUGCACAAAUUCAUUGCAGAACAAUAUUAAUGCAACUAUUCAUAUUAUUUGAGUAACUAUACCAUGAUAAAAUCAAAGCAUCUGAAGUAAUUAGAUUUUUUUUUUUUUUUCAUUUUGUAAUUCUUCCCUCCAACAAAAUUCUUCAGCCUUGGAAAAAAAGCUGAAGUUGGAGUUCUAAAGCCUUAUUCUUAUAUAUUACAUUUCUAUUAAACAUGCUUAAUGGAAGAAGAAUUACAAAGCCUAUUAAUAAGAUACUUCCCCCCUCCCCCAAAAUUUUCGUCUUCAUCAAGUUUUUAUUUCGGACGGUAGACUUCUAUCAGGGAUCAACAGAUUUCUCAAAAAUUUGAGUUGGACCUCAUGGUAUACUCUGCAACAAGCUUAACAAAAGAUGAUGACUUAUCCUCUAACAAUGUCGUUGGGGAGUCAUACUCCUCAACAAGUCCUACACCAAUACACAACAACAUCAGAAAACAAAACACCUAGGAAAAAUAAUAUAUCAAAGUUCAACGAAGAAUAACAGAAGUUAGAACCAAAUCACUGUCAAGAACAGAAGUUAUUCGAUGUGCAAUGGUAAUGACAGUAGAAUCCAUGAAAUGUUGCCUAAGAGUUUGCUGAAUCAAAUUAUCUGUAGCUGUAUCAACUGAAGCAGUUGCUUCGUCAAGCACCAAAAUCUUGCUCUUCUUAAGCAGAACCCUACCUAGGCAAACCAACUGUCUCUGACCCAUGCUCCAGUUCUCACCAUUCUCACUAACUAUAAAAGCACCAAAUUCCACAUUAGCAAUAAGCUCAAGAGUAAAAUACUAUAUACUCCUUAUGGACUUAAAUUUAAGCAAAAAUGUACAUCAAUUGGUCUAAAUUUAUUAUAUACUAUUUACUCUCUCUGGACGUAAAUACUAUAUACUAUAUUUGGUUUAAAUUUGGACCGAAUGCACAUACCUUUUUGUUUAUAUUUAAGUCUGACGGGAUUGUUUAUGUUUAACAAAAUUAGAAGACAAACCUGAAGAGUCAAGCUUUCCUUCUUUCUUUCGAACUUCCUCUCCCAGUUGACACUUAUCCAAAGCCUAUUUUAAAAAAUGUAGAUCAGUAUUUGAAGAACAAUUACAAGUCUAAUAUUUUGCAUGUGGCACUUUCAUUGCAUUAUUUUUCAACCAAGAAGAAAAAAAACAGCUGACCUCCCAUAUUUGUUCAUCAGUGUACUCUUCCAGCGGGUCCAGAUUACUUCUCACAGUCCCCUCUAACAUGGUUGGAUCCUGCGGAACAAUGCUUAGUCUAGACCUCAAAUCGUGCAGUCCAAUUGUAGAUAUGUUGAUUCUGUCGAUGAUAACUUCCCCGGCAGUAGGUUCAACGAGUCGGAAAAGUGUUUGUAUAAGAGUUGAUUUUCCACUACCUGUUCUACCAACAAUGCCAGUUUUCAAUCCUCCACGAAACGUGCAAUUCAGGCCACGCAACACAAGUGGAAGAUGUGGAGCAUAUCGAACCUUCAUCACGGACAGCAAAUCAUUACAAAUGGUGAAAUAGAGCACAGACUUCUCAUAAAAGAAAAUGCUACAAGGUAUUUGUAUCCAAAGCACAAUUUCAUUGACAACAAAUUUAUAGGAUCAACACUAACUCCAAUUAGUGGAAAGGCUAUAUAGACUAUUAUAGAGGUGUCAUGUAGGCAGAAUUCUAGCUUAAGAAUAAAUUUUCAACAAAGGGUGGAACGGUUACAUGAGAUUGAAACAUAGGCAGAAUUCAAGGUCAAAAAUAAGUAAUGUUUAUAAACGUACAUCUAUGUAUGACAAUUUUUCUGAAUGACAUAAAUGGAUCUCCAUUCAUAAAUAAAAUUCUAAAGAAAACACAAUGUAAUAAAGUUAUAUCAAUUAGAACAGUAACUUCAAGUUAGAAUAUGAAACAGGUUUGAACUCUACAUCUUAUUUUAAGAUUAAAUUAUUGCAUAUUAUGAACUCUAUAUGUGACGGAUAAACAAAUCAUAUUUUAAACGAUCUUUAUAGUUGAACUUUAUGUAUCAGUGGAUUCUCCUCUUAGUAUUUCCCCUGGUAUAUAAUAUGUAACCGAUGGUAACACAAGCUACAACCAUUAAACCAUGGAGAACCUGUGUAAGAGUGACAAGGUUUCUAGACUAGUGCAGACAAAUUUAUUUAUUUUAGGAAAAGUAGAGAUAAAAUAAAACAAAAAUAAUAAAUCACAAUAAAAUAUCCACAUCAAUCACCAAUUAUAUCACAUAUGCAGCAACUGAUUCUGAUUAAUUCUUUCAUGAGGCCUCAUUCUUCUUGUCCUCCUACUAUUAGGCUUUCCUCCAACCAUACUCACAAGCCAUUGAGGUUUUCCUAUUAACAACACAAAGCAUCCUAAUCCAACACCAAAUACCAUUCCACCUAUAGCUACUGGUUGCCAACAAAAUCCAAAUUUUUGUUCAUGCUCAUCAGAAUAUGUUGAAGGUGGAGAAAUUUUGUUGCAAUUUUUUGACAAUGGAAGUCCACACAAUCCAUAGUUUCCCACAUAGGAAUCAUUGGAAAAGGUAUCAAACUGCUCUCCUCUAGCUAUUGCUCCUUCAAGAUGGUUUUGAGAGAUAUUCAAAACUGCAAGAUAGUUUAAAUUGGUUAACUCUGUAGGAAUCCUACCAGUGAGCAUAUUUGAGGAGAGAUCCAUUGAUUCGAUGUUUAUCAAAUUUCCAAAGGAUUGAGGAAUCGCACCAGUAAGUUUAUUGUGGGAAAGGUUGAGUCCUAUGAUUGCAUGAAGCUCACCAAUAACAUUUGGAAUGUCUCCUUCAAAUUUGUUUCCUGAAAAAUCAAUACUUACAAAGAUUGUAGGAAUUAUUGCAUACGUGAUAUCGAUCCCUUUUGUUGUUGCAUUCACAGAGUCGUAGAAAAACUCGUAUGUACGGGUAUAUGUUGCAAUUUUACCAUCUUUUUCAUGUAUUAAAAUUGUACAGGAAUAACAUUCUUCAUGGCUUCAAAAUUUUCUGCGUAGAAUUUCGGUAUUGGACCACUGAAGUCAUUGCAUGAGAUAUCAAAUAUAAUUAAAUUGGGAAAUGGAUUUCUGUUGAUCUUUAAUUUGAUAAUGGAAAUAUGCAACUUAUUGGCUCGCAAAACCAGUACUUUCAAAUGUGACAAAGUUUGAAGCCAAUGGGGAAACGUGUCCUUUAUAAUGUCAUUACCAAGAUUUAAAACCUCCAGGUUUCUGCAGUUGGACAAAGAUUUUGGCAAAGGACCUACUAAUUGGUUGCUAUUAAGAUUGAGUGUGCUGAAAGUCAUACUUGAAAAGGUAUUUGGCACAGAGCCAUAAAGUUUAUUCAUCUCCAUGUCCAAAACUUGAAGGAAUGGUAAGUUUGCAAGGCACUGUGGGAUCAUACCUGUUCAUUUGUUGUGGGACAAGUUAAGAAUUAGAAUUAGAGUUGCAUUGCAAAUUGACAAAGAUAUCUCACCCCCUAGUGAGUUGAAACUAAGAUCAAGGGAUCUCAGCCAGUAAUGCUUUGAGAAUUGGUCUAUUGAUGUGAACAUGUUUCGAGAGAGGUUCGAAGAUUGUAAUAAAAACAUAUCUGGUAACCAAUUUGGCACUCUUCCACUCAACUUAUUAUUGGAUAGAUCCACAUAGACCAAACUUGGAAAUAUUUCUCCGAAUGAUUUGGGCAAUUCAGUUAAACUGAGAGAAGAUAAUUCCAAUACUCUUAAGCGAGGGAAACUGUAAUUGAACAGCUCAGAAUCAGAUUCAAAGUUCACUGAUAAUCGACUAUUCUGAGAAAGGGAAAGACUUUCCAGAUUUUGGAACUUCGAGAAGAGUUUAAAAUUGACAAAACCACUCAAGUUAUUUGAAGAUAGACACAAGUUAGUAAGGUUUACAAGGUAGAAAAGUUUUCUGGAAUAUUUCCUUGUAACAUGUUGCACAAAAACAUAUACUCUAAGGAAUAUGAGGAGUUGUCCCUUUCAAUGUGUUGUUAUUGAGCCAUAAUGCUGUUAGAUUUGAAAGGCCUGUUAUUUUGUCAGGUAGGUAACCUUCUAACUUAUUAGAAGAACAAUCCAAAUAAGAAAGCAAUGUUAAGUGAAAGAGUGAAGAUGGGAUUUGUCCUUUUAAAUAGUUAUUCUUAAGAUAGAGAGUUUUCAAUUUUGUUAGGCCACCAAACACAUCCGGAAUUCGACCGAUGAGUUUAUUCCCUGAAAAAUCCAUGAGAGUGAGUUGUUUAAGGCUUGAAAGCCAUGAUGGUGGUAGCUCACCUCCUACAUUGUUUCCUGAGAGACUCAAGAAGGUAAGUUGUGUGAGGUUAGAGAAAAACUGUAGGAUUGACCCUUGGAAUUGACAUCGUGAAAGAUCCAAUAUAUUAAGGGAAGUGCUGCAACUCAACUUUGGAAGUUGACCUUGAAGGUCGAAGUUAGCUGACAUAUAUAGCUCUUGAAGUUUUGGCAAACAAAGAGUGUUUUCAUUUGACAUCAUGUUUCCACUUAAACCAGUUCCUUUAAGACUAGUAGUAAUCAAAGAAGAUAGAUUAAGAAAUGAAAAAAAUGAGCUUGGCGCGAUGAAAGACAUGUUUGUAUGGUCAAAAACAAGCUCUCUGUCAAAGAUGUUUCAUUUUGCAGCAGCCUCUUCAAAGUGACUUCUUGUAUCCACUUUAAAUUGUCAUUCAUGGAGAGAUCAAGUGACACUAAGUUAGAAAGGUGUGAGAUACAGGAAGAAACUUCACCUUGAAUCUCGGUAUCAGACAAGUUGAGGUGUGUGAGAUUGACAAAAGCACCAAACUGAGAUGAAAGUUGAGUUGGGAAUAAUCUAUUAUGAGCAAGGUUGAGUGUUUGGAGAUGAGAAAGAUGAAAAAGUGUACUGUUGGGAUGAAUAAUACCUUGAAGGUCAUUGCAGCUGAGGUCUAAGCCAAUUACGUGACCAGAAAUUGUGUCACAGGUGACACCAAGCCAUGAGCAACAAUCUGUACCAUUUUGCCAUGUUGAUACCUCUGCAUAAGCUAGUUUACCACAAUUAGUAUCAGUAGUAUCUAUGUUGAAAGAGGCUUUGAAUUGAAGCAAGGAAGAACUGUCAUCGAGGCAGCAUAUAAAAUGAGAAGAAGAUAUAACAUGAGUGAGCAACAAGAAAAACUGCAAACACAGAAUUAGCAACCAACCCAUGUAUGAUGUAUGAUCAGACUAGUUGUGGAGGAGCUCAAGGGUUUACUAUUUGCUAGAGAGUGCACAUGGAAUUGCAAAUGAUGAAUAUAUAAUUAUAUAGCCAGAUUUUAUCAUUACCAAAAUGUCAAGGGAUCGAAUUUGGUAUAAACAAAGUAUCAUCCACGUGCAUGCAACAGCGGAGACUAAUCUCUCGAGUCUUGUGGGACCCAAAUGAGCGGUAAACUCUCUGUAAGAGUUUUAACAUUACUGCAUAUCCAAACUUGAGUUCGAAUCCGGGUUUUUGGUUGAGCUAGAAGAGACUCAUGCAAUCUCAUAUAAACGCUCUUUGGUAUUGUGCACACAACGUCUCUAAAGUAUAAACUAAAUGGACCAAAAAUUCUGAAAUGGAAAGGUCAAAAUCAGGACACCAUGUAUAUUCAAUGAAUCUAUAAACAUUACAACUAAUAUAUCAUAAGUCUUAAUAAUUUCUAUAUUUGACAAAGUUGUUGCAUAUAAGUCAAUUCUGAUGCCAAAAAUUUCUAACCCCUACGACAUUCCUAAUUGAUUUUAACUUAACUAAUGUUGUACAUAAAGUUAUCUAGGCUACUAAUUUUCUCCUGACUCUUUCUCUGUCUAAGUCUUCCUUGCAAAUAAGUAGGAAAGUACAAGGUGUAUAUAAAUUUAUAUGAUGACUGAUUGACAAUUUUAUUAGUUGAUAGAUAUAAAAGUGACAAGAUCACAUGCAGACGAGAUAUUCAGGCAUUUGCGUAUUCUUCUCUCAAGAGAGAUGAAAAGUAUUCUUGACACUGCCUCUUUAGACUUGUCUGUCAUCUUGUUCAGGUCUCACCAGACCCGGCUGUUUGUUUUUAAAACCGAUCCCAUCGGACCAGCCUGUGUGAUUUUUGUUGUGUAUCAAUAUUCUCAUCAGAGAAUAGUCGAUGGGAUUCAAAUUUCUUGACUCUAGUAGUCACUCUUACACACAGGUUCUCCAUGGAAAAUUAUUCUUAAAAAUAAAUUUAAAAGACUUGAAACAAACCAUUUAUAUUAACUACCUAUGUUAUAUAGAUUUGAAGGGAUUCCGAUUAUAUUUCCCUUGAAUAUAAUUGUACAAAUUCAUUACAGAACAAUAUUAAUGCAACUAUUCAUAUUAUUUGAGUAACUAUACCAUGAUAAAAUCAAAGCAUCUGAAGUAAUUAGAUUUUUUUUUUUUUUUUCAUUUUGUAAUUCUUCCCUCCAACAAAAUUCUUCAGCCUUGGAAAAAAAGCUGAAGUUGGAGUUCUAAAGCCUUAUUCUUAUAUAUUACAUUUCUAUUAAACAUGCUUAAUGGAAGAAGAAUUACAAAGCCUAUUAAUAAGAUACUUCCCCCCUCCCCCAAAAUUUUCGUCUUCAUCAAGUUUUUAUUUCGGACGGUAGACUUCUAUCAGGGAUCAACAGAUUUCUCAAAAAUUUGAGUUGGACCUCAUGGUAUACUCUGCAACAAGCUUGGCAAAAGAUGAUGACUUAUCCUCUAACAAUGUCGUUGGGGAGUCAUACUCCUCAAUAAGUCCUACACCAAUACACAAACAUCAGAAAACAAAACACCAAGGAAAAAAAUAUAUCAAAGUUCAACGAAGAAUAACAGUUUUUAUUCCUAACCUUGAUCAAGAAGUAGAACCAUAUCACUGUCAAGAACAGAAGUUAUUCGAUGUGCAAUGGUAAUGACAGUAGAGUCCGUGAAAUGCUGCCUAAGAGUUUGCUGAAUCAAAUUAUCUGUAGCUGUAUCAACUGAUGCAGUUGCUUCGUCAAGCACCAAAAUCUUGCUCUUCUUAAGAAGAACCCUACCUAAGCAAACCAAUUGCCUUUGACCCAUGCUCCAAUUCUCACCAUUCUCACUAACUAUAAAAGAAUCAACUUCCACGUUAGCAAUAAAUUCAAGAGUAGAAAUACUAUAUAUACUCCUUAUGCACUUAAGUAUGAGCUAAAAGGUACAUCAUUUGGUCUAAAAAGUGUGAAGGGAGUGUUUGUGUUCAACAAAAUUAGAAUACAAACCUGAAGAGUCAAGCUUUCCUUCUUUCUUUCGAACUUCAUCUCCCAGUUGACACUUAUCCAAAGCCUAUUUAAAGAAGGUAAAUCAGUAUUUGAAGAACAAUUACAAGUCUAAUAUUUUUCACAGAACCCAAGUGCCACUGUCAUUGCAAUAUUUUUCAAAAAAAAAACAACAGCUGACCUCCCAUAUUUGUUCAUCAGUGUACUCUUCCAGCGGGUCCAGAUUACUUCUCACAGUCCCCUCAAACAUGGUUGGAUCCUGCGGAAUAAUGCUUAGUCUAGACCUCAAAUCGUGCAGUCCAAUUGUGGAUAUGUUGAUUCUGUCGAUGAUAACUUCCCCGGCAGUAGGUUCAACGAGUCGGAAAAGUGUUUGUAUAAGAGUUGAUUUUCCACUACCUGUUCUACCAACAAUGCCAGUUUUCAAUCCUCCAUUAAAUGUGCAAGUCAGGCCACGCAACACAAGCGGAAGAUGUGGAGCAUAUCGAACCUUCACCAUGGACAGCAAAUCAUUACAAAUGGUGAAAUAGAGCACAGACAUCUCAUAAAAGAAAAUGCUACAAAGUAUUUGUAUCCAAAGCACAAUUCAAAAGCCAAUUUCUAAACAUUUAGGAAAAGAAAACCUUAGCAUAAAUUUCAAAAAUCAAUUGGCCUAAAAAUGAAGGAUAGCGGAACCAAAAACAUAUUUAAAAGGAAGCAAUAGGGUGAAAUAUUCCAGCAACCUGCAAGUUCUGUAUAUCAACCUCGCCGUAUGCGGGCCAAGAAGAAUCUGGCCUAUUUUCUUCUUCUAAAACAAGGGGAGGCUCACUAGGAAUGGUUGUAUACUGAAGUAUCCUUUCAACCGAUAUAAUUUUGUUCUCCAAGUUGCAAAGAUUCCAUAUCACCCAAGCUUGUAUCAUGUUUAAAUUUAGACCAUAGGUAACAGCUAGACCAGCAAGGCCUUCAAAAAUCAGGAAAAAAAAUGACAUGGUUAUGCUCAACUCCUCAUUACACAGGCAGAGUAAAUUUCCAUUUAUACACAAUAUCAGAUUUGAAUUACACACCUGGAUUUAUGAUUCCAGGUGGAAUCGAUAUCAAGAAUAUCAAGGAAAAGGCAAACGUGAUGGAAGACAACAUAUCUAAGCGGAAGCAUAACCAUUCCAUAGCAGCAGCAAUAUUGAACUUUGGCCGAGAAUACCCAUCAGUCAGUUUCAUGUUUGUUUCAUGAAAUCUAGACUGUUGAUCAAAGCUUCUAAUGGUUGAAGUACCGGAAAUUGUUUCUGCAAAGUGUUGAAUGAUUGGGGCUUUGCAUACUCCACCUAAACGUGAUAGUUCACGGGCUGAUGGUAAAUAAUAUCGCUGCAGAUUACAAGUAUAGAAUGGAGUCAAAUUUGCGAAAAAAUAAAAUAAAAAUAAAAUUGGUAUAUAAUCUGUGAUGGUAAAGCCUUGGUGGUCCAAACAUUACCUGAUACCAAAUGCUAACUGCUAUCACGGGUAUAAAGACAAUGAAAACUUGCCAUGCAACCUGAGACAUCACUGCUAUAAUUCCGAGAAGCUGGAUUAUGGAGAAGGCAAAUGAACCAAUUUGAUAAGGAAUGUCGGUAUCCACUGCACUUUGGUCAGUAGAAGCCUGGAAGACAGCAUAGAUAAAUAUAAGAGAUGAAAAAAUGGGCAAGAAUCAUAUAAAAACAUACUUUAUUAAGGAUAAACCAACUGAAGAUGUAAAAAUCAUAUAUCUGAAAAGCAAAUGGGCAAGAAAUGGAAAAAAUGUUAGUGUGACAUACUCUAUUAAGGAUUCGACCACUUGGAGUAGAAUCAAAAAACGACAUCGGGGCACGGAAAAUGCACAAGUGCAUUUUAUUGAAGAGUAUAGUAGCUGUCUUAUAACCAACUGUAACAAGUAACAAUGCUCUAACAAGAAUGCAUAAAGAACUUCCAAUGGCAAAACCAACAUAGACUUCAAUAAGAGUUGUUCCUUCAACAGGUGGCUCGACUUCGGCUGAGAUGGGAGUUGCCCAAGCCAUCCAAUAGUUGCUUCCAAUUUGAAGAGCUUGAAAAAGAAUCUGAGCGAAUAAUAUGAACGGUACAAGAGAUCCUCCAUAUGCAGUUGUGAUAUACUUCCAAUAGACUGAAAAUCCAACUUUACCUUUCUCCCUUUCUUCUUCUUGAACGAGUUGGCCUUGCGGUUCGCCUUUAUCAUCUGCUUUACCAUUUUGCUCAUCUUUGUUUGCCUCUUUUACUUCUUGUUCUGAUGUACUUAUUUCAUUACAUGCUUUUCCUCCAUCCAAUGAUUCAAGUGUAGACAAAGCCUCUCUGUGUGCACCAACAAGUUCCAUAAAGUCAGUCCCAAUGUUAAGCAGAUCGGCAUACUUUCCACUUUGAGUAACUUUCCCGUCUUUCAUGACCUAUUACAAGGGCCAAAAGAGAGGUUAAGAGAAAAUCCACCAUUAUAAAUUAAUGACAAUAUAUUUAUGAUAAAUACUCACCAAUAUAAGGUCAGCAGUAGGUAAGAACUCCACUUGAUGAGUAACAUAAACAACUGUUUUUGAGCUUAAAACACCGAGCAAGCAUUCCUGCCACACAGUUAAACAAACAAUUUCACUUACUAAAAUAAUUAUACAAGUGUCAUGCUAUUGGAAAUAGCUGCAUUUCAAAAGAGUUAAACCAAGAACCAUUUUAAGUUAUCAAAUAAAGAUUUGAAUCAUGAAUCGGAAGACAUUUUUUCCAAACCAUGAGUUGAAUCUUAUUAUGAACUGUAACUUGCCAAUAAAAUUAUGUCAUUAUAUAAGCUGGUAUAUCAUCAUAUAUGAACCUCAAACUAAUACAAGUCAUAUAUCAAAUGACAAAAGAAAAAUGUUUGGUAAUACAAAUAUGAAAAAAAUUAUUGCGUUUAGCUAUGCUAAGUUUAGGUAGAUGAGAUUUGUGUCUAAAGAGAUGCACAUAGAGACUUGUAUCGAUUGAGUUCAAUCAAGUAACGAUUCGAGAUGUAACUCUUGUGCAUGUAAGAUCCUGAUAACUAUUUUGUACUAUGCGCAGAAAAUAGAAUAGCCAGAUUAUAUUGCACAUAAUAAACAAAACACAGAAAAUGAAUUACCUUAAAAAGGUGAGAUCCUGUAUGAGCAUCAACAGCACUAAAAGGAUCGUCAAAUAGAUAGAUAUCAGCAUCUUGGUAAAGAGCACGAGCUAUUUGUAUUCUUUGUUUCUGUCCACCACUCAAAUUUAUUCCACGCUCGCCUAUAACUGUCUGAUCACCAAAUGACAAGAUUUCCAAAUCCUUCUUCAAGGAACAUGCUUCAAGUACCUUUUCAUACCUUUCCCUAACCAUGUUUUCACCAAACAAUAUAUUAUCCUCUAUCUUGCCACUUUGAAUCCAUGGUGAUUGAGCGACAUAGGCCUUUGUUCCACAAACCUUAAGGACGCCUGAUAUCUUCGGUACUUCUCCCAAUACACAAGAAAGUAAAGUAGACUUUCCUGAUCCAACAGUACCACAAACAGCAACCUUCAUGCCAUGAGAAACUUUGAGAUUUAUGUUCUGCAAAGUUGGACUAGGCAAAGAUAACUCCCAAGAAAAAUUCCCAUCAACCACUUCAAUUGCUGUGUCAGAACUACCAGGAGGAAGCUUUUCGACAACAUCGGAUUGCAAGUCAUCAAGACGAAGGAACGACGCUAUCCUAUCAAGAGAAACUUUAGUUUGUGCUAUCAUUGAAAUUACAUCUGGAAGAUUAUAAAUAGGCUCUUGAAGAAUCCUGAAUGUCGCAAGUGCUGACAGAAUCUUCCCUGAUUCAAGUGGGAUCCCUAUGAGCAUACAAGUACCAAAAGUAACCACAGAUACAAAUGUAGGUGCACCCCAAAAGACAAAUGUAGUCACGGCGUUAGUAUAAAGAAAUUUUUUCAACCAGCCUUGUUCAGCGUCCCUGAGCGCAGUUAUUUUAGAUAGAAACUUCAUUUCCCAUCCUUGCAGUUUAAGGAUCCUCAUGUUCCUUAAAAUUUCAGAUGUGGUCUUCAUUCUUGUAUCCUUUGACUCCAUCAACUUAUUUUGAAACUUCUCUUGCAAUGAUCCCAAUGGAACAUUUGCUAACAUAACAAUAAUAGUUGCAACAAAAGCAGCAAUUGAAGCAAGUCCAAGAUUUUUAUACAAAAUUAACAAUGCCAGUGUAACUUGCAAAGCUACUAACCACAAAUCAUGCAUGUACCAACUGAAACUACCAACUCUUUCGGCAUCAACAGUCAUGAAAUUGAUUAUUUCUCCAGAAGUAUGGCACUGUCUUGAUUGACCUGAAAGUGUUAAGGCUUUACUAUAUAUCAUAGUCACAAGCAGUGCUCGGGUUCGAAGUCCGAGUUGCUGCAACCUAAAGAACCAAUGCCUCUGUGUUAAGCACUCUACAAGCUUUGCAAAGAAAAAUGCAGAAACCAACACAUAGCCUUGAUUCUCGUAUAGCCUUUUUCCAUCAAGGUAUUGAACAAAAGAGUCAAUAAGAUAAGGACCAACAUAAGAAGCAAAAGUGUUUAAUAAUGCAAGAAAAGCAGUAAAAAGAAUCUCUUUCCACCCUGAGAUUAUCAAUGACUUAACUAACUUAAGUGUGGUUACUCUAU
rnacentral:lncRNA from 1 species